rnacentral:rRNA from 1 species
AUUGAACGCUGGCGGCAGGCCUAACACAUGCAAGUCGAGCGGAUGAAGGGAGCUUGCUCCUGGAUUCAGCGGCGGACGGGUGAGUAAUGCCUAGGAAUCUGCCUGGUAGUGGGGGAUAACGUCCGGAAACGGGCGCUAAUACCGCAUACGCCCUGAGGGAGAAAGUGGGGGAUCUUCGGACCUCACGCUAUCAGAUGAGCCGAGGUCGGAUUAGCUAGUUGGUGGGGUAAAGGCCUACCAAGGCGACGAUCCGUAACUGGUCUGAGAGGAUGAUCAGUCACACUGGAACUGAGACACGGCCCAGACUCCUUCGGGAGGCAGCAGUGGGGAAUAUUGGACAAUGGGCGAAAGCCUGAUCCAGCCAUGCCGCGUGUGUGAAGAAGGUCUUCGGAUUGUAAAGCACUUUAAGUUGGGAGGAAGGGCAGUACGUUAAUACAUUGCUGUUUUGACGGUACCAACAGAAUAAGCACCGGCUAACUACGUG